ensembl:lncRNA
UGAACCGUGUGUUUCUCUGUGUGUCUCAGCAGGUACACUGAUCAGCCAUGAGAAACUCCUGCUGCAGAUCAACACAGAGAGACAGAUGGGCAACAUGGACUACAAACUGGGACAGGUAGGAUGGAGAGAGAGAUGGACUACAAACUGGGACAGGUAGGAUGGAGAGGGAGAUGGACUACAAACUGGGACAGGUAGGAUGGAGAGAGAGAUGGACUACAAACUGGGACAGGUAGGAUGGAGAGAGAGAUGGACUACAAACUGGGACAGGUAGGAUGGAGAGAGAGAUGGACUACAAACUGGGACAGGUAGGAUGGAAGGAGAGAGAGAUGGGCAACAUGGACUACAAACUGGGACAGGUAGGAUGGAGGGAUGGAAGGAGAGAGAGAUGGACUACAAACUGGGACAGGUAGGAUGGAGGGAUGGAAGGAGAGAGGGGGCGGAGGAAAGGGAAGACAGACCAAAUGGCAUAGUUGUGUCCUUCUCUUGCAGAUAUGUUCAGUCUCUCUCUCUCUCUCUCUAAUUCCUCUCCUUUAUUGUCUCUCUCUCUCUAAUUCCUCUCCUUUAUUGUCUCUCUCUCUAAUUCCUCUCCUUUAUUGUCUCUCUCUCUAAUUCCUCUCCUUUAUUGUCUCUCUCUCUCUCUAAUUCCUCUCCUUUAUU